UAACAAAGGGAGAGGAUAUGGAUGGAAUAUAAAUCAGUUAGCAGAGAAAUAUCAGAUAACAAAUAUAGAAUGUAGUGUGUCACCUGUAUGGGGAGAGGUGCCAACAUGGAUAAUUCCUGAUGUUAAAAUUGAUCUAGAGAUAUUGGAUAAGAAAAGAGAAUGGGAGGAAAUGGGUAGUAUUAAAUAUAAUGUAAAUAAGUAUAUUCAGGAAAUAUUUUAUGCAAGUAUGCACAUUUAUACUGAUGGAUCUAAAGACCCCAAAACAGGGCUUACAGGAGUAGGAAUAUAUAUUCCAGAUUUUAAAAUAUCCAUAACUAAAAGAUUAACAUCUAAAUUGUCAAUAUAUACUGUUGAAAUGGUUGCUAUCAUAAUAGGACUAACAUGGGUAGAGGAAGUAAGACCAGACAGAGUAGUGGUAUGCUCUGACUCUGCUUCUGUUUUAACAUCAUUGAUUACUCGGCAAUCUUCUAGAGAAGAUUUGUUGUGUGAAAUAUUUACAUUAUUAUGGCGUAUACAAAGAAAAGGUGUGGUAGUUGGAUUCUGCUGGGUGCCAGCACAUGUGGGAAUAACUGGAUGUAACACGCCAAAAAACGGAAGAAGAAGAAGAAGAAGAAGAAGAGGAAGAAGACGACGACGACUGAGUGGUUGGUAAAGCCGUAUCUUCUCGUCUGUUAUUUAGCGUACUCUGUUAACAGGUUAUGGGCCCAGAGCAGAGUAGAAAACGUUUGGAGUGAUAAGACGCUGGGUAAAAGUCGCGAUGGAUAUAGCGUGUACCCGAGUCUUUCGACAUGAGAAGAAGA